UACGUAGGGUGCGAGCGUUGUCCGGAAUUACUGGGCGUAAAGAGCUCGUAGGUGGUUUGUCGCGUUGUUCGUGAAAUCUCACGGCUUAACUGUGAGCGUGCGGGCGAUACGGGCAGACUGGAGUACUGCAGGGGAGACUGGAAUUCCUGGUGUAGCGGUGAAAUGCGCAGAUAUCAGGAGGAACACCGGUGGCGAAGGCGGGUCUCUGGGCCGAUACUGACGCUGAGGAGCGAAAGCGUGGGGAGCAAACAGG
rnacentral:rRNA from 1 species